rnacentral:rRNA from 1 species
UGCAGUCGAACGUGAAUCCAUCCCUUCGGGGUGGUGGAAAGUGGCGCACGGGUGAGUAACGCGUGGGAACAUACCCAGCUGUACGGAAUAACCAUGGGAAACUAUGGCUAAUACCGUAUACACCCCCCUUGUUAAUCCUUGGGGGGGAAAGAUUUAUCGCAGUUGGAGUGGCCCGCGUAGGAUUAGGUAGUUGGUGGGGUAAAGGCCUACCAAGCCGACGAUCCUUAGCUGGUUUGAGAGGAUGAUCAGCCACACUGGGACUGAGACACGGCCCAGACUCCUACGGGAGGCAGCAGUGGGGAAUAUUGGACAAUGGGCGCAAGCCUGAUCCAGCAAUGCCGCGUGAGUGAAGAAGGCCUUAGGGUUGUAAAGCUCUUUCACCGGGGAAGAUUAUGACGGUACCCGGAGAAGAAGCCCCGGCUAACUCCGUGCCAGCAGCCGCGGUAAUACGGAGGGGGCUAGCGUUGUUCGGAAUUACUGGGCGUAAAGCGCGCGUAGGCGGCCUGUCAAGUUGGGUGUGAAAGCCCGGGGCUCAACCCCGGAAUUGCACUCAAAACUAGCAAGCUAGAGACCGAGAGAGGUGAGUGGAAUUUCCAGUGUAGAGGUGAAAUUCGUAGAUAUUGGAAA